rnacentral:lncRNA from 1 species
AGAAUUGUUGAAUAUUAAAGCCACAAUUGUUGACUCCAAUAAAAAUUGUUGAAACUUCAUGAAGAAGUUUUCAAGUUGCAAGUGACCAACUUGAAUUUGAAUUCCUUUCCACCAAUCACAACUUGGAAGUGGCAAAAUUGAAGUGAAACUCUCCUAGCCACCAUAUUUGACUAUUUAAGAAGAAAAUUUCUAUUGAAAUUCUUCUUGUUUUCAUGUAGAUACUUCCAUUAAGGAGGUUAACAAUUUCUAUAAAUAGAGGUAGAUGUGGGGAGAGAGAAUGCAAGAAACUUGAGAGGAAUUAGAGAGUAGAGAGAAGAUUGGGAGUAGAGAGAAAAAAAAAAAUAUUAGUUUCUCCUAAGUAUUACCUCCUUGUAUUCUCAUAUUACAAGAGAGAUUAAUUGUUGUUAUCUCCUUGUAUUUAGAGAGUGUUGUAAUUCUCCUACUAUAGUGAAAUCCUCCUAUACUUGCCCGUGGACGUAGCCUAAAUUGGGUGAACCACGUAAACACUUGUAUCCAUUUUCAACUGCGGUUUCUCAAUUCCAUUUUGUUGUAAAGCCAAAGUCAACCCACGUUAUUUCUAACAAGUGGUAUCAGAGCAAGGUUCUGUGUAGGGUCGUUGUUCAAUCAUAGUAUUGGUGAAAAAUGGCGACAAAAUAUGAGAUUGAAAAGUUCAACGGGAACAAUUUCUCAUUAUGGAAAAUGAGAAUAAAAGCAAUUUUGCGAAAAGAUAAUUGCUUGGCGGCAAUUGGACAAAGGCCUGUGGAGAUCAUUGACGAUACUAAGUGGAAUGAGAUGGAUAGCAACGCAGUUGCUAAUUUGCACCUUGCACUAGCCGAUGGAGUAUUGUCAAGUGUGGCAGAGAAAAAGACAGCCAAAGAGAUAUGUGAUAUGCUGACAAAGCUGUACGAGGCCAAAUCGUUACACAACAAAAUCUUCUUAAAGAGAAAACUUUACACCCUUAGGAUGAUGGAGUCAACUACGGUGACCGACCACAUCAACACCCUUAACACUCUAUUUUCACAGCUCACAUCAAUGGGGCAUAAUAUAGAGGCGGGUGAACGUGCUGAGAUCUUACUUCAAAGUCUACCAGAUUCGUAUGAUCAACUCAUCAUCAACUUGACCAACAACCUUGAAAGUCUAGUCUUCGAUGAUGUUGCAGCUGCCAUUCUUGAAGAAGAAAGUCGGCGCAAGAACAAGGAGGACAGAUUGACAAGUUCGCAUCAGGCAGAAGCUUUGACGAUGAUGAGAGGGAGAUCAACGGAACGUGGCUCAAGUGGGAGUCAUAAUCGGAGAAGAUCAAAAUUCAGGAGUAAGAAAAAUGCCAAGUGUUAUUACUGUGGCAAGAAAGGGCACUUAAAAAGGGAUUGUUGGAGUCUCAAGAAAAAUGAAGAAGACAAAGGAAAAGGUCCUGAGACUUCAAAAUCUCAAAGUUGUGUAGCAAGUACCUCAGAUGAUGGUGAAAUUUUAUACAGCGAGGCAACUACAGUUGUUGAAGGCAGAAAGAAAUUUUUCGAUGUAUGGCUUAUGGAUUCAGGAGCUACAUGGCACAUGACACCAAGGAGGGAAUGGUUCAAUCAGUAUGAACCUAUCCCAAGAGGAUCUGUGUUUAUGGGAAAUGAUCAUGCCUUGGAGAUCGCUGGUAUUGGUACCAUCAAAUUGAAAAUGUAUGAUGGUACAGUUCGCACUAUCCAGGAGGUACGACACGUAAGAGGCUUGACGAAAAAUUUGUUGUCUCUAGGGUAAUUGGACAGCAUUGGAUGCAAAACCCAUAUACAAGAUGGAAUCAUAAAGAUUUUCAAAGGCGCGCUUGUGGUGAUGAAAGCAGAAAAGGUAGCUACAAAUUUGUACAUGCUUAAAGGAAAAACACUACAAGAAUGAGAAGCAUCAGUUGCAUCAACAUGUUCAACAGAAGAAUUAACAAUGAUGUGGCAUCGCAAGCUUGGCCACAUGUCGGAACGUGGUUUGAAAAUUCUCUCAAAACAAAAGCUUCUUCCAGGGCUCAAAACGGUUUCAUUACCCUUUUUCUGAGCAUUGUGUUACUAGUAAGCAGCACAGAUUAAAGUUUAGCACUUCCACUGCUAGAAGUAAAGCUAUCUUGGAGCUGGUCCAUUCCGAUGUUUGGCAAGCACCAGUUAUAUCCCUAGAAGGUGCAAGAUACUUUGUAUCUUUUAUUGAUGAUUACUCCAGGAGAUGUUAGGUAUAUCCAAUCAAGAGGAAGGCGAAUGUAUUCGCAGUCUUCAAAAUAUUCAAAGCGCGUGUGGAACUUGAAUCUGAAAAGAAGAUCAAGUGUCUAAGGACUGACAAUGGAAGAGAAUAUACUGGUGAUGAAUUUGAUAACUUCUGUCAAUAAGAAGGUAUCAAGAGGCAGUUCAUUGUGGCAUACACUCCACAGCAAAAUGGAAUGGCAGAGCGGAUGAACAGAACAUUGUUAGAAAGAACAAGGGCAAUGUUGAGAACUGCAGGGCUAGCCAAGUCAUUCUGGGCAGAAGCAGUCAAAACUGCCUGUUAUGUGAUCAAUCGGUCAUCAUCAACCGCAAUUGAUCUGAAGACGCCUAUGGAAAUGUGGACUGGCAAACCAGUUGAUUAUUCUCACAUACAUGUGUUUGGAAGUCCUGUGUACGUUAUGUACAACACCCAAGAAACAUCAAAGCUAGAUCCAAAAUCCAGAAAAUGUAUUUUCUUAGGGUAUGCUGAUGGAGUGAAGGGUAAUCGCUUGUGGGAUCCCACUGUCCACAAGGUUAUCAUCAGCAGAAAUGUGAUAUUUGCGGAAGGCAAAAUACAGGAAAAAGGAAAUGAUAGCACUUCAAAAGAAAAACUAGAGACUGCUACAGUCGAAGUUGGAGAUGAACGAGAUGUUAUAAAUUCUCCUGAAGCAACACUAGAGCAUGAAGAACAAGAACAAGCUGAGUCUAGUGCUCCAGAUGUUCGACGAUCAACACGGGAGAGAAGAGAACCGGCUUGGCACUCAGAUUAUAUUAUGGAGGGCAAUGUUGCAUACUGCUUACUGACAGAAGAUGGAGAGCCAUCAACUUUCCAUGAGGCUAUAAAUAGUCAAGAAGUUUCUCUGUGGAUGGCAACAAUGCAAGAAGAAAUUGAAGCUCUUCAAAAGAACAAGACAUGGGAUCUCGUUCCACUACCACAAGGAAGGAAGGCCAUUGGAAGUAAAUGGGUCUACAAGAUCAAACGAGAUGGCAAUGACCAAGUGGAGAGGUAUCGUACGAGACUGAUGGUGAAGGGAUAUGCUCAGAAAGAAGGCAUUAACUUCAACGAAAAAUUUUCUCCUGUGGUUCGACUCACAACAAUUCGAGUAAUCCUGGCGGUGUGUGCUACAUUUGACUUACACCUGGAGCAGUUAGAUGUGAAAACUGCAUUUCUUCAUGGAGAACUUGAAGAAGAAAUUUAUAUGCUCCAACCAGAAGGUUUUGAAGAAAAAGAAAAAGAGAGCUUGGUUUGCAGGUUGAACAAAUCUCUGUACGGUCUCAAACAGGCGCCGAGAUGUUGGUAUAAGAGAUUUGAUUCCUUCAUUAUGAGCCUUGAAUACAACAGACUCUGUUCAGAUCCGUGUGCAUACUACAUGAGAUUUGGUGAUAAUGAUUUCAUUAUCUUGCUGUUGUAUGUUGACGACAUGUUAGUAGCAGGCCCCAACAAAGAUCGUAUUGAAAACUUGAAGGCACAGUUGGCUAGGGAAUUUGAAAAGAAGGACUUGGGACAGGCAAACAAGAUUCUAGGAAUGCAAAUUUACCGAAACAGAAAUAAUAGAAAGAUUUGGCUUAGUCAGAAAAACUACUUGAAGAAAAUCUUGCGUCGCUUCAAUAUGCAAGAUUGUAAGCCAAUUUCUACCCCUCUUCCUAUUAAUUUCAAGUUAUCCUCAAGUAUGAGCCCUAGCAGCGAAGCAAAGAGGAUGGAGAUGUCUCGAGUGCCGUAUGCAUCAGCAGUGGGUAGUUUGAUGUUUGCUAUGAUUUGUACAAGACCAGACAUUGCACAAGCAGUGGGAGCGAUUAGUCGAUACAUGGCAAAUCCUAGUAAAGAGCAUUGGAGUACUGUGAAGAGGAUCCUGAGAUAUGUCAAGGGUACCUCAAAUGCUACAUUAUGUUAUGGAGGAUCAGACUUUAUUGUCAGAGGCUAUGUUGAUUCAGAUUAUCCAGGUGAUCUUGAUAAAAGCAAAUCCACCACAGGAUAUGUGUUUACUCUUGCUGGAGGAGCUGUAAGCUGGGUUUCGAAACUGCAGUCUAUCGUGGCUACUUCUACUACAGAGGCAGAAUACGUGGCAGCUACACAAGCCAGUAAAGAGGCAAUUUGAUUGCAAAUGAUAAUGGAGGAGCUCGAACACAAACUAGAGAAGAUUGCUCUAUUUUGUGAUAGUCAGAGCGCUUUGCAUUUGGCAAAGAAUCCAGCAUUUCAUCAGAGGACAAAGCAUAUUCGAGUUCAAUAUUACUUUGUUCGAGAGAAGGUGGAGGAAGGAAGUGUGGAUAUACAGAAGAUCCAUACAGCAGAUAACCUAGCAGAUAUGUUAACAAAGCCGAUCGGAACUGACAAGUUUAGAUGGUGUCGAUCCUCCAUCAGCCUAGCAGAAACGUAAGUAGCAUGGAAAAGGCAAGUAUGAGAAGGAUGAAGUGGUCAACAAAAGUGACUUUAAGUGGGAGAAAUGUUGAAUAUUAAAGCCACAAUUGUUGACUCCAAUAAAAAUUGUUGAAACUUCAUGAAGAAGUUUUCAAGUUGCAAGUGACCAACUUGAAUUUGAAUUCUCUUCCACCGAUCACAACUUGGAAGUGGCAAAAUUGAAGUGAAACUCUCCUAGCCACCAUAUUUGACUAUUUAAGAAGAAAAUUUCUAUUGAAAUUCUUCUUGUUUUCAUGUAGAUACUUCCAUUAAGGAGAUUAACAAUUUCUAUAAAUAGACGUAGAUGUGGGGAGAGAGAAUGCAAGCAACUUGAGAGGAAUUAGAGAGUAGAGAGAAGAUUGGGAGUAGAGAGAAAAAAUAUAUAUUAGUUUCUCCUAAGUAUUACCUCCUUGUAUUCUCAUAUUACAAGAGAGAUUAAUUGUUGUUAUCUCCUUGUAUUUAGAGAGUGUUGUAAUUCUCCUACUAUAGUGAAAUCCUCCUAUACUUGCCCGUUGACGUAGCCUAAAUUGGGUGAACCACGUAAACACUUGUGUCCAUUUUCAGCUGCGGUUUCUCAAUUCCAUUUUGUUGUAAAGCCAAAGUCGACCCACGUUAUUUCUAACAAGAAUCAGGACCCCUAACACAGCAUCUUCAAGUCCUAAUGACUUGGCCUCCUUGGAAACAACUAGUUCAAACCUGACUCUGGCAUGGGUCCCCUCCAGUGUGUUCAUUGGCUUCGGCAUGGCCUGCAGAACCCCUUCAGUUCUCUUCCUACAGAUUUCACUUCCAUUAAUGGCAUUGACGUGGGUUUU